rnacentral:lncRNA from 1 species
AGGAGUUAGUGACAAGGAGGGCUCGCUCUUGGGGCUAGUGGUGGGGAGGCAGUGGCCAGUUCAGGGCUCAGAUGAGAGAGGUGACAGAAUUAGAGGCAGCCACUAGGAUGGGGGUGCGAGGAGAAGCGGGGCUAAGUAUAAAGGAGACUAGAUUUUGGGACAGUGGUCGUGUGGAAGGCAGCUUCCAAAGCGCCUUUAACAAUCCACAAAGAACCAGCAGCUUUCAAGACCAGGCUAUCCCUGCUGUCUGCUGGCAUAGGGGCACUUGACGUCCAGGAGGGCACAAGUUUCACAGGCCUACAUGGGGGCAGUGUCCUAGCUUGAGUGGCAGAGCAGCAGUUGGUGGAGACGGGUGGACUGGGGGCCCUUGAGGCCCCGGAAAUCAUAGAGGACAGGCAGUGGGGCAGGACUAGGUGUGUGUAGUGGAGGUCGCCUUUGAUCUUGACAAAACCAGCAGACCCCUUUUUUUCCAGAUAAGGGGUUGUGAACCCACCUGGGGAUGAGGCCUGGUCUUAUGGAAGGUGGACUUAGCUUCGCUGGGCGGACAGCUCUGGCCCAGGGUGGUAUGUAAUUUGGGUGUGGCCUGUCUGCACCCACUUCGGGUGCGAGGGGAGGCCGGAGGAGGCAGCAGAGACAAGGAGUUGUUUUUACUGUCAGGUCUGCCAGGCGGGGACCAUGGAGAUUGAAGACGCAAGUCUUGGGGCCACAUUAAUCACAACUUUAUUUUUCAGAUAGCAGUGCCCUCUCUGGACUUUGCCUAGGUUCCGUGCUUCCUCUUCUGUGGUCUCACUCUUCCCUACUCUUGCCCCUCACUCUGAGGUUAAGGGGUCACUUAAAACCUUGCCCCUGGGUCAUCCGGUAAGCCUGAGGAGGAUGUAGAGUCGGUCCUGGAGUCUUGGGCACGGCAUUUUGGUAACGGUGGAGGACACCCUGACUGGGCGGGGAGGGAUGGUGUUGAUUCACAGAGGGCGGGACGUGAGUGUGGACCCUGGGGUGGGCUCACAGCCAUGUUUCCGGUCACCCAAAUGCUUCAUGGACGUGGUUUAUCACUAUAGUGUUCACCAUGGCAAGCAGAUGGCACCAGGAGAUAUGGAGCCCCUGCCAGUGUGAGUCCGUAGCAGUGCAGGAGGGCUCACCCUGGAGGAGACAGCGGCCUCGGUUGAUGCCUACACAGUGAAUUCCAGAGGCUUAGGAAGCGCGUCCCUGCCCUGGGUCCAGGCCUUUCUCAGGAAGCCCUGUGCUCAGGAGGCCAUCGUUGAAGUCAGCUUGUAGGGGGUGGGCAGGUGCUUCCCGCCGGAGGGACCGUCGGCUGUGAAUGUUCCAGAUGAAUGUCUUGUUCUGGGAGCAUCAUUCUUUGCGGAUGCAUGAAUGGCAGCAGGCACCCUUUUUCAUGGGGGUAGAGGCGUUCGACUGCUGCAUCUUCUAAACAAGCCUCCAUCCAGCCUUUGUAGUUCUGUGCUUCGAACUUGGCCUCGAGAAGAUUGCGUAAGGUGUAGGACACUUUAACUUCUGCGCAGCGUGCUGCACUGUAGAUCGGGAGCCCAGUGACCUCGCCCACCUUCCCUGCUUCUGCAGCCUGCCUGCCUCUGCAUUGGUCAGAGGGAUUCUUAACUGAAAACUUGUGGGUGUUGGGGAAAGCUGUUGGGUUGUAAAUGACUGGUGUGGAGGAAUCUUCCUUAGAUGGAGCUGGUUGUAAAAUGGGUAGGGUUUGUGGUUUAACAGUGGGAAGGCACAAGUUAGCCACAAAUUCUGCCGACUUGGUAGAUGCCGUAUCUAAUUUGGGCUUUGGGACUAAAAGGGAUCAGUGGGCCUGAAGUGGUCCCUGGGAAUGGUCUCUCCCAGGGUGUGGAUUUGAUACUGGGUGGUUGAGUGGCAACAGUGGUUCUGGCCCCUUUUGUUCAUUAGCUUUUAUGACUUAGGGCCUGGCUGUGUAUACCAGGCUGGCCUGGGUUCACAGCCCUGCUCAGAUGACAGUGUCCUGAAACAUGGCCUUCCAAGGUGAAACCUGAGUUAUGGCUCAAGCUUGGGAAUAAUACUUUUGGCACCAGAUAUGAGACUUGUGGGAGAAAGCAGGGCUCAGCUUGGCAUUGGUGGGUUGAAGGAGUCGGGGUGCCGGUAAGGAUUGUGCCUGGAACCGUGGGUUGAUGGGAAUAACAGUUUGGGAACUAAAUAGUUCACAUGAAAAUCUAAAGGCUGAUGGUAAAUCCCUGCAGGUGGCACUACUUUGAGAUGCAGUUGCUUGGAAAAUACCAAAAUCCUACAAGGGGAAAAGCAAAAUUGUUUUGCUUCACUGUUGAAUGGGGAAGGGUGACAUAUGAAAAGCUUUUCUUAGUUGCUCAAUAGAUGGUUGUCACUACCCUGACCCAGGCAGGCCACAGGGGUGGAGCCUGGUGGGGGGAAGCUGAUUGCCAAGAAGUGAAGUUGGGGAGGGGUUUGUAAACGCCUCCGUUGUGGGCUCUGAAACCAUAGUAUGGGGAGGUUGGCAGACUCUUCUGGGACUCUAUUGAAAUUCUGUCAUACUGUGUGAUUAAGAAUUCCAAUGCUGCUAUCUAAAGGAAUUUCAUAUGGGAGUCAUGCCUUAUACAACACAUACAGGAAUUUAAUGUGUGAGCCAUGCCUUCAAAACACAUCUCGAAUUUCUGGAAUUGGCCAGAAGACAACAGGGUUUGCUUAUUUAACCUUUCAAAUCAGUCAUUGUGACAAGGGGACAGGGUCUUGCGCUUGCUAUGAGAUCAUUGUGAUGCUUGUAGAAACCUCAUGAGUGCUUUGCCACUGAAUACAUCCAUUGUGGGUUUGGCUUGAAUGGUGCUUUAAAACCAUCCCUGAGCAGAGGGGACGCUGUUAAACUGUCAGUCAAAGCAGUUUGGGAAAUAAAAGAGACUGGGCCCUGGGUCAUCUUACUAGAUAACACUUUGUAAAAAUUGGUUCUGAAAACCCUGUUUAUUUGCCUAUUUGUGAAAACCCUGUAUAUGUGGUUGUUUUGUGAGUGUGCUUAAAAGUGGUGUGACCAGGGCAAGAUCGCUCAUUGGAACAGCUGUGUGGAAUGGGGAAAUGUGAAGAAAGCUGUAACUGCAGGUUGGUCGCACCCGCUUCUCUGUACUAAAGUGUUCAGUGUACAAACCCACUAGCCAUUUUCCUCCCCUUCACAGCAAAAUAAAGGUUUGAGAUUGAAGUUUCUUAGAAUUGUCAUGGCUGUUACAUUCUCCACCUCUGUCACUUUGCCUUCAUAGUUGGGCCUAGAUGCACUGCACCGUGGAAGCAGUUAGAGCAGGUCUGGUCUGAGCAGCCUGUCAACUCUGGGAGGGAAGGGCUGCUCACUGUGAGCUGACAAUGGCUGCAGACAUGACACUGAGUCACAUGGGAUAAUGGCACUGCAGGUAAGGGAGUAUUCUGAACAUGAUCUAGAACAUUCCCAGGUUGUAUUCCAAAUAGUAUGGUUUUUUAGUUUGGGGAAAAUGUCUUAAUAUGGUAUGAGCUUUUCAUAUUUUCACUCUUAAAAGCUGGUGUGGGCUUGAGAUUUCAGUCUGUACAUGCAAUUCUGUCUGCCUGAGUAGCUGGGCUUGGGCUACUUUAGGUUUUUUUUUUUUUUUUGGUACAUGACUAAGUUUUUUUACCAUGGGAAGGGUGUGGUCAGAAGCCCUGGGAAUCCAGGAAGUGGGCCACGCCGCCUUGUAAACAGUCCUGGGUAAUGGUAGCUAAUCCAUUAUAGGAGCCAACCUGCCCUGAAUUUGGUUGAGUGGUGUGUCAUUAAAGCUGGAAAUGUUACUACUUAGACAGAUUGUGAGCUUAGAACUCUGCCAGCCUCUGCUAGGACUGGAGCCUGCUUGCUGAGAGCAGAGGGUAGCCUGUGGCUCUGUAUGGAACUGUUGUCUUGAACUGGAGUAGGUAGGAGACCAAGCAGAGGGUGGGAAGUGUCUUACUCUUCCCUGAGAGCCGCCAGGCUGGCUGUGUUCUCAGCUCCUGUGUAUUGUAUUGUUCUUUUUCUCGGUCAGUCUGUCAGUGACCUCUCUCUUGUGCUGAGAAGUCAGAAUGGGGUGUCCCAGGAGUGCUGUCGAGGCUUCUGGGACUCCAAGGGUUAAGUGCUGCUACAGCACAUGAGGGGGUUUCCCUUCACCCACAUUUUUUUUCUUUUUACUUAUUUUGGUAUUUUGAGAAAAGGUUUCACUAUAUAGCUCAGACUGGCCUAGAAUUCAAAGAUCUACUAAUGACUGCCUCCCAAAUGUGUCUGGGAUUAGAGGUGUGUGCCUGUGCGCUGUCUACCUACCUCCGUGUCUGGUUUAUCCCAGCGUCAUUCUGGUUUCUUACCUAGUUUCUGCGCCUCCAUUUUCCUCUUAUUGGACCUUUUGGGUUUUAUAUUUAACAAAGUUCUCCAUGUUGUAUCAGCGGUCUGGUAAGGAAUAUAUUCCCAGCUAUGUUAGAGGUGGCUCACUAACAAACCAAAGGCUGAGCUCUCCUGAGUGGAGACUAUUAAGACUUGGCUUGAGUUUAUUUACUUGUUUUGAGACAUUCUUACUCUGUAGCCCAGGAUGGUACGAAGCUCAUAAUAAUCCUCUCUUAGCCUUGCGAGUGUUGGGAACACAGACAUUAGCCACGUGUCCUGCAAACACUGCUCUAUGCCCGGGGUGAUCGGAUGGCCGUCCUAUCACCAUUCCUCAACCAGAAGCCUUGGAUUGGGUUCAUGCUCUGAACACCCAGCAGCAGCUGGGGUUCUGUAGCGCUGACGUUGAUCCUGUGACUGGAAUGCCGUGGGGCAGAGAGCAACAAACGUUCUUUAGAGACGUUUAGAAACGUGUUCUGACAGCAACCAUAGACUCCUCCCAGCUUGGAAACACUGGCAAGUUCAGAUGUUGGCCUGCUACAAAAAGAGAAUGACAUUUCCAAUCCUGACAAUCCCGACAUGUGCCAUUGAGUUUAUCUUAGGAUGUCAAGCCACCAGAAGGACCUUUAAUGUGAGCUUAUGUCUGCAUUGCUGAGGGCCUGUGAAAGCAUUAACCGAGGUCAUGUCCAUGCCUUAGGUGCUAUUGCUGAAGCAAGUAAUGUAGGGGUUUCUGACAGGCUAAUAUUUGUAUGUCCUUCCCAAAAUCUGGAUGCAAAUAGGAUUGUCAGGAAGAGAACAAAACCAAAAUAAGGUAUCAGGUAGGAUCCUGAGUCCUCCUGGGACAGGAUGCCCUCCUCGCACCUGUGCUAGGCUGCUGAGGGCAACUGUCACCUGCCACUGUCCUUCCCACACCUCAGUGGUUUCUUACUGAGUUCUCAAGCAUAAAAAAGGUUGGACUGUUAAGUUUUGCAGAAAAGCAAAUGGGGGAAAACACUCUUUUCCAUUAACGAGCGUGCCGGCAAUGUCUCAGACUUUUCUCUUCCUGGGCAUCAGCUAUACGUACGCUUGUACAACAGUGGGAUUGUGCCUUGGUUCUGUCUACCGCGGGUUUUCUGUGAUGCAAGGUGAGAACUGUGUCCUGACAUUCAAAGCACUGCAUUACUGUCUGUUUAAACAAUCCUAUUUACACACGAACGCGUGCGGAGGGAGAGGACGACUUCCUCCCGCAGCAGGUGCUGUCCGCUGCUGGGCAGGCGUGCCAGCCGCCUUCAGCUGUUGGUUUCCUUUUGGGAAAUCAGGGUUUAGUGACUGACUUGUCGCUCAAGCUCCUACACCUCUGUUACUCCCUGGAGAUAUCAAAAUCAGUCUCUAGAAUAAAAUGACGGUCAAAUCUUCUUAACUUUAGGCUCACAUUGCUCAGUUGCUGUCCAGAUGGCUUUUUCUGAGUUACUGUUCUGUAAACGUUUCUGUAAAGCUGGUGUGUGCAUAGACCUCAGAGUAGUGUGGCUGGCCAGUGUACAUGGACAAUGUUAUGAUUCCAGCUUCCCUGUGUGUGUAUACAUACUAUUUGCUCACAGAGUGUCCUUAACAUGAUUUCAAUUGAUUGGUUGGUUGAUUGAUUGCCAUUGUAACAUUUUGUGGUCAGAUACACUCAGCAGAAACUUUAGCCAUUAUAAGUCCAGUUUAGUGAUGUUUAGCAGAUUAGAGUUGGACAACUGGCCUCCAGACUUUGCAAAAUCUGAAACUACCCAUUAGGCAACUUAAAAUGUGGUUUUCCCAGUCCCUUUCUGUGAGUGUAUAUAGAAUAAUAUAACUUGUAUAUAGAAUAAUAGUGUUUCUCUUGUCUUAGUUAUUUUCGGUGUUAGGCGUGUGUAUGGAGGUCAGAGAUCCCAGGGCUCAACCUUAACCAUCAGGUUUGUGCCGCCGGCAACUUUAUCCACUGGAAUCCAGCGUUGAUCUUGUUGACUGAUGAUUUUUCAUCUUGGUUGUAUGAUUCUCUUUGCUUUCAUACAAGCUAAGUCAUUGGUAUUUUGUACCCUUUUCAGCAUGUGUGUGCUGGUAAGCAUGCUUGUAUUGCCUCUGCCUGUGGGCCUCUUGUUCUUGUGACUUCCCUGCUGUGGGAUGGAUGCAGCUAUCAUUCUGAGAACGCCAUCUUCAGCUGUUUAGGAUACAGCACAGGCAUCCUGAUGGUUGUAGGGUGACAGACAUUCCCUGUGGUCUCCCACUCCGUAUGCCUAUUGGCCAUGUCCUUGGAGUCCUUUUUAUGCUUAAAAGGCUAUGGAUUUGUUAACCACUGUUGACCUGCAGGAUUUGGCUGUCUUCUGGGUGUUAGCUCUCUGAUCAGCUAUGAUUUCGCUGACAUUUUCUUCCACUCCAUAAAGGUGCCUGCUGAGCUGUUUUUCUUUGUAGUUGCAUGUAUUAUUUCUUGUGUGUGUGUGUGCAUGCUUCCACUCAUCCAGUCUGUGUCACAGCACUCCUGAAGGUCAGGGGACAGCUUGUGGGAGUCAGUCUUUCUUUCCACCCCACACAUCUGAGAGACUGAAUAUAAUUGUCCAUCAGGUUUGGCAGCCAACGCCUUUACCCACAGCCUUCGUCUCAGCACAAGUUUUAUGCUGUGGCGUUGUUAGUGUGCGUUUGCUUUUGUUGCCUGAACUGUUGGUGUCAUAUCUAAGAAAUCAUUGCCAGAUCCAACGUCAGAAAGUCUGUAUUAUUCCUUUGUUUUCUGUUAUUGUUUUGUUUUAAAAACACUAGGCAAGUACUCUACCACUGAGUUACAUCCUCAGACCUUAAAAGUGCCUCGUCUUAAUCUACUUUUCUGUAACUAUUGGCCAAUCACGAGUUUUACGGUUCAACCCACUGUCUGUAUUUUCCAUCUUCAACCAUAAUGACCUUGCAGUGUUUGUGUUUAGGAGGGUUAGCUUGGACCAGGUCUAUCAAACGUAUCUCCUUAUUUUCUCAAUUAUUAAGAACAAGAUAAAAAUGAUGUACAAGGAUUUAAACCAUCUAAAUCUGACCAUAGCUGAUAAGUUGCUUGGAGUUGGUUCUUUUUUCUCCAGCUGUUCUUGUCUGGGCUUGCCCUGUGGACAGAGAUAUUCUUCUCACGCAGGCGGUUUCCUCCCACUGCUAGGAAUGGUGGUGAGCUAUCGCUCUGCUUUCCCCAAUACUAGUCUUUCAUAAUCAUGUGUCUAAAGCAUUGGACAUUCCACGCUCUAGUUUUUGUUUUUACAAAUAAAAGAACAAUCUUAACUAUCCCGUUUAGCAUCUGGUAGGAAGGUCUGCUGACAUCAUCAGUAUCCUGUCCUUGUUGGACCUUGAAUGCACAAACUGGAUGAAUCUUAGUCUCUGGCUCAUAGUGUGACGCUUUCAUUGCUUCCUUAUUUUUAAACAUUUGUCAACAUGUCUGACUCUUCCAUCAAUAUGAAAACCAAGGCAGUAGCAAAAGUAGCUUGCUCCCUGCCCGUGACUUUCACACUGCCCUCUGUCGGGCCAAUAUCAUGCUAAAAAAUCCUUACCCAGUGAAUUCUUCAAAGUAGAUAUUUUGCUGUAUGUAACUCUGUAGAAGAAUUAAAUUGCUCGUGGUCUUCUGGAACAUUUGUUUUAAAUGGAUGGAAUUUAUCUGCUGCUGUGUACAGAGCUCCUUGACACAAUGUCACCUCUUCUAUAGUCUCGUUACAGGAGUAACUCAGACAGAAGCAGCCUGAGCACUCACAAUCUAGAGGGAACUGUGAUCAACAACACAGGAUAAGAUGUGUCCUGCUGAUCAGGCCACAUCCCUUUCUUCUGAGAAUGUCUCAGGAUGACAGGACUGCACUUAGUGGGGGCUUUGAGCACACAGCUGCCCUUUCUUACACUGGCUGUGUUGCCCGCAGGUUAAAUUUCAGUUUUCCUGCCAGUGAUGAAGGUGUGUCCCCUCUGGGUCAGGGAUCAACAGCUGUACUGUGAGAUCAUGUUCUUGGCAAUCCCCUGUGCCCCGUCUCGGUGGGUAGCAGUUGUGGGUCAGACAACUGCGGUGUUCUGUUGCCCUCUGCAGUGACAGCAGGCCCUCGGGCGUGAGUGUAAGGGUCCUUGUUGGUAUGUCUUAAGCACUUUGCAUAUGGAAUUUCACGUUUCUGUUGGGUGUUUUCUUGGCUCUGUCACAUGUUCACAGUGGCCCAUGGAGACUACUUGGUAUGUGAGAUUCUUGUCAUCUAUGUGUAUAAAUUUGAUAUCCAUGGCUUAGUUGAUUGGGACCCCAAGGUCUAAGACACAAAAGAGUGUGACUUUGCAAAGGUCUAAGUUAUUCUGUCCUGAGACAACUGAACUUUUCCUCUGCCAUCCUUGCAUCAGAGUGGCUCUUCUAAGGAGGCCGAAACUGCAGCUUUAAGGUAAGCCUGGGCAGACGCUUCUGUAAGUACUGUUUAAUGGAUAGAUAGGGCUGUGUACUAUAAUUGUAGUAAAAUACUUAAAAACCACAGCGUGUUAUCUUGAUGUCCCUCUCCUGUGCCAGGAUUUCUAUUCUAAGACAUCUCCCUUUCAUGAAAUCACCCAAUAUUACUGACCUGUUUUUAAGUGGAAUCAUGCAAUAUGUACUGUUUUUAUAACUCCAUAAUAUUUUGUCUUAUAAUGUAGACCCAAUAAUUUUGACCCUUUUUCUACUGAUGCCUUCAGGCUAUUCCAGGGUUUUCUGGUCGUUGCAAGCAAUGGCCACUGAGCUUUUAUUCCUUGGGACACUGAUGAGGCCAGGCCUAAAGGAGGCCGAGGGCUCCCGACUGCAGCUUCAGGUUCUCACGAAUGCUCUGACUCUCCUCCACUCUUGAGUCUCAGACUUUGUUUUGUUCAGUGGUUAGCAUUUCUACAGCCAAAAUCAACUUCUGGUCUCCCCCCAGCCAUGAGGUUCGUUAGCGCUGGCGGUGCCUGCACUUCAUGUCCCUACCAGAACUUAACAGGUGGUAUUGGAAUGAUAAUGGAUUUUGAGCCUCAGGCAGCUUUCUGGUUCUUACCUUAAACAGUUUAAAAACAGAAGUCAAACCAGGCAUGAUAAUACGCAGCGGCCAUGCUGCCCUGGGGUAGUGGAAGCAGGAGGAUCAGGGUUUGAGGCCAGCCUCUGCUCUGCAGCCUGGACUAUAAAAAACCUUCAUGAGGACGGUUAUGACACUUGGGAAAGCUACAUUCAGACUUGCUUGUUCCUUCAGUACUCCCACACCACUCUCUAGGUUAAGGGUACUCUGUCCUCUAAGGCCACCAAGUGCCCAGGGAACAGGUGUGAGCUCCCUCUGUCUUGUCCUUGCCUCCUAGGGUCCCAGAGAGUCAGACACUGGAUGGUGGGGCCAGCUUCAGUCUGGCAGCCUCUUCCUCCACAGCAGGUUAUGUUGGGCUUCCUUUCACUCUGGUGACCAGUGUACUGUCCCCUCUGCUGACUGUGUAACCCCACAGCGCGUUCCCUCCAGCUUUUGCCCCUUAUACACAUAGAAUGUUUAAAGUGAUACUUGUUCAUGUUAAAACUGCAAAUGUGUAGGUGACCUCUUGCUUUCCAGACAGCGCAUGGUAUGGUAGCAUGUAGGCUCGCCACACCUUGUCUUGCACUUGGGACUGUUGGGCCAACAGAGCUGUAGCCACAUUUAGACUACCCAGUCCUGCUCAGGGGAACAACUGAGCUGUUUCUAGCAACACUGAGUGUAUUUUACUAAGUCUUAAAUAUCUAUUUACAUGUGUUUUCAUGUGUUGAGGCAAGUAUGCCCGAGGAGAAGCAUGGGGACGCACACAGGAUGCACCAGCUAAGCCUUCUGUAAGGUGCUUCCAGUUGGCCUUCCCCACACCUUCACCAGUGCUUGUCCCUAACCUUGGGCAUUCGUCAAUGCGAGAGGUGAAGGGUAAUUCUCAAUUGUAGCUUUAAUUGGUGUGCUUAUUGAUUUAAAAUGUUCUUUACAUAUUAAGGAAAGUAACCAUUUGUGUUGCAAACACUUCUGGUCCUCUCUGACUUUUAUAGUUUAUGACACUUUGCUGUUGAGCAUUUUAAAUAUACAGAUGUACUUGUUGAUUGGUAUUUUUUUCUGCAUCUUAUGAUGAGCUCAGAAAGCUUGGUCUAAUUCAACACUAUACUUUGAAUCUCGUGCCUUUUUUUUUUCUGUUGGUUCCAUCUGGACUUUGUAAGGAGUGAUGUGUGGGUAGGAAGCCUCUUGUUGCUACACAUAACUCAAGUCACAGCCACCAGGCAGUGGCUGGUGUGUUUCUAUGUCACAGCCACCAGGCAGUGGCUGGUGUGUUUCUAUGUCACAGCCACCAGGCAGCGGCUGGUGGGUUUCUAUGUCAGUUCCAGGCCAAGUGCUGCAGUUGGAGCUUUGCUAUAUGGUGAGGGCGGUCCUACCUCCUACCUCAACUCUUCUCUAGUUUCCUGGUUACUCGUGUGUACAGUAUUCAACUGUCCCAAGUCGUCUUGAUUUUCUUACUGUACAACAAUAAGGUAUCUUAUUCCGUUUUCCACCAGUGGCUUAACCUAACCUGACUGAAAUGUUUCUUACACUUGUGCAUGUGUGCCGGCGCAGGGAGAGGGGCAGAGGGCAGUGUUGUUGGGUCUCCUUCUACCACUCGGCUCCGGGGAUUAUUGAGCUGAGGUUGGCAAGCUUGGCAGACAGCAUUUUGACCAGCUGAGCCAUAUCAGUCAGUGCCCUGAGAUGGUGUGUGACCGGGUCAGGUGUGGUAGUGCAAGUCUUUCAUCCCGGUACUCGGGAGGCAGAGGCAGGUAGAUCUCUGAGUUCAUGUAAAGAGACUCUGUCUCAAAAAAUAAACAAGCCAGGCGUGGUGGCGCACGCCUUUAAUCCCAGCACUCGGGAGGCAGAGGCAGGCGGAUUUCUGAGUUCGAGGACAGCCUGGUCUACAAAGUGAGUUUCAGGACAGCCAGGGCUACACAGAGAAAUCCUGUCUCAAACAAACAAACAAAACAAGAACAAAAAACAAAAACAAAAAAAGAAAAAAACAAAGAAAAAACCAAGUAUGUAAAAUCUGUGGUCAGUAGUGUUAGCCUGUGCAGUUAGAGGACCUUGACCGACAUCCAGACCAGGGGACCCGAGUGGAUGGCUCACCCUGCCCCUGCAGGCCCUGUCCCUUCCAAAACAGGCACUUCUGUCACAGGAUACUUUUUUUUUAAACUUACAUUUGCUUGGGGGAGGGAAGCAGUUCUAGUUCCAUGAGGCACAUAUGGAGGUCAAAGAGCAACUUGCCGAUGUCUCUUCUCUCCUCCCACUGUGUGGGUAGUAGGAAUUGAAUCAGGUUAUCGAUCUUGGGGCUGAGCCAUCUCUGUGGCCCACAGAGCACUUAUAAUAUGUGGUUACUUGUUGCUCUCACAUUGUCAGUGUACAGCUUGGUGGCCUUUGUCACUGGUGUGCUCUGUGACACUGUUGUAAUAAAAAUGUUGAUGAGUUUACACAAAUCUAAAAAUUGAACCCAAGAGCCAAGUGUGGUGGUGUACCCUUAAUUCCAGCACUUUGGGGGCAAGUUCAGGUAGUUCUCUGAAUUUGAGAGCCUCCUGGCCCACAUAGUGAGUUCCAUGGCUGCGUAGUUGCAAAAGAACACCAACACCUUUCCCCCACAAAUAGAAUUGUACUGAAGGUCACAGUCAGAGAAAGCAUAGCAAGGAUGGCUGCUCUGAGCCCCUCCUGUGCACUUCUGUAGACCUAGCCCCGGUGUCUAAAUGGAGUCUGAUUUUAGCACCUGCACUUGACUGCUGUGCUCCACCCUGACCCGCCUUCUCCUGAUCCCAGAUUGCUAGAAUUUUUGACCAAAAUGGUACUUAAUUGUAGUUGUGAUUGGUAUGUUCAUUGAUUUAAAGUGCUCUUUACAUUUUAAGGAAACUAACCAUUUGUGUUGCAAACAGUUCUGGUCCUCUCUGACUUUUACAAUUUAUGACACUUUGCUAUUGAGCAUUUUAAAUAUACAAAUGUACUUGUUUAUUGGCAUUUUUCUUGCUUUUUGCAUUUUAUAACGAGCUCAGAAAACUUGGUCUAAUUCAAGACUGUUUGGUGAACUGCUUUGUUUGCCUGACUCCUUUGGCUCUAUCUGGAGUUGGUGUGAUGACUGGGGUCAGGAAGUCUGAUGUGGCUACACAUUUACUGAGUGACACAGGACAAAAUGGACUGCAUGCUGACUGAGCUUCUCAGGCCACAGUGGAAACCAUUAGGAAAAAACGUUAAAUCAUUGUUCUCAGAUGUGUUCCCCAUGAGGUCCAGCCAUUCCCACCCAGCAAAUGGCUCCCUCAGCCUGGUAGUUUCAUCUUUGAUUUUGAGAGAGAGAGAGAGAGAGAGAGAGAAGAAGAGAGGAAGAGAGGUAUCUAUUUCGUGUGGGGGCCAGGACUCACUAGCUGUAACAUCUAGAACAUGUUACAUGUCUGUCCAUGUCAGCCUUCUGCUUCAUCUGUGGACACUUCUGUCCGUCUGCUGUACAGAAUGGUUUUUAGGUUUGCAGUUUGUAUUUUAAGACCUCAGCAAGUCUUUGAAUCAGUCCUGGCGGGCUUUGCUGUCAGCGUGUCAUGCAUAUCACACGUUCUUUGGGUCCAUUUUGACGUUUAACCCUUUCAGCUUCCAGAAGUUGCUUUGGUGUAUUGCGUGAGGUAAUAUGGCUAUUUUUAAAUGACUGUUUUCCUUAGCAUCAUAAGUUAUUAGCUAAAUAAUUCCUUUGGCCUAGUUGUCUGGAGCUCCCUUUCCUUAGGCUAUCCCAGCGUCCUAUUAACUUCAUACUGUUUGAAUACAUCAUGAUACGGAUACCUGUCUCAUGUGUGUGCAGCUCACAGAUAAUUCGUGCUCCACAGACAACAGUGUGACUGUUGAAGGGCUCAGUGACCUGUGCUUACAUGGCUUGUUCAGGUCACAGGCAGCUGACGACUCAGCUCAUAUAUGUUCAGUGUUCCUCGGUCCUGGGGACAUGAGCAGGCACAGGACAGGGACCUUGGAGUUUUCUUUAUCAGCACUCCUGCCUCAGCAAAUGAAGGUCAGCCAACACCCCAUUGCUACCCAGAUCUCUUGGCAAACAGACAUUUUUAGUAGGACAGAGCCAAGGCUUCUUCAUGUAGGCUUUGUAUAUUCAUAAGAUUUGUUCCUUGAAGUGGCGUGUUUUGGCACGUGGCUGGUUGUGGUUUUCUGUCAAAGUGUAUGAUGAUGGUAGCUCAUGAAAAGACAUGUCCACCCGUACUCUGUCUUAAAUGUAGACACUGGCUUCCCCACAAAGGCUGUUGGGGAGGCAAACAGCAUACUGGUCAGAAAGACACUGUGUCAGGACACCAGCUCUCACCCUGGACUGUCUCUUGUUUACUUCAUAACCCUCUUGCUCCCUUGACUUUCCUGUGUAUAAGAAGGGUUAAUCAUUAUCUACCUUGGACUUGAGUUAGGGCUAAAGAAAUAACACACUGUGCUUGGCACUCCUGACCCAGGAUAGGCCUGGCCUUGUAGGGUUUCCAGCCAGGAACGGUUGUCUCUGGUGGGUAUGUCCCAUGGAACCCAUCCAUCUCCCAUGCAUCUCUCCUGUUUUGUUAGUGUUAGCUACACUUAAUUCACUGAGAAAGCAUGAACAUCAUAGCCGUGUUCCACACAGCCCACCCGUGGGAUCCAUCAGCAGGUGAAGCAGGAUUGCACUGGCCAGGCUGUGUGCCGACCCGACCUGACCUGACGCUGCUCUGAGAGGCUCUGGCUCUGUUUGUGCUCUGAGAGGCCCUUGCUGUUUGGUGCACAGGAUGGGCUGGAGUGUCCUGCUUAUAGGUUUGUUGUGUUGUUGUUUUGCUAAUAGGGUUUUUUAAUUUAAAUAGUUAUGUAUUUCCAUGUUCCUUUUUUAUUUUUGGUAAAACUAUUAAGUUUCCUUUUUAAAUGUUAAUUUUUGGGAAAUUGAUUUAUAACAUGUCUCCAGAAUUUGUGACUUUGAGGUAGCAGUUCUGUGGUUGGUAUAUGUGAUGUUGUGAGCUGUUGACUCGUUCAUUGCUGCAGGUGGAGGCUCUGUGCUCACAGCCUCCUAUCUGUCCUUCCUUCCCACCCCCAUGGCCUUUAUGCUUGCCAACCUGUGAACCUGCCUGUACUUGGUCCCUCAUGUAAGUGUAUACAUCCGUCUCUUCAUGUCUGUCUCACCUCACAGACAUGGCGUGGUAUCUGUGGAAGUGUAUAAGAUCUUUAUUCCUCACUGUGGCUGAAUAAUAUUCCAUUGCAUUGCCUUAGCACAUCUCAUUUCGCUUCUCCAUCCCAUCGCAGGUCUGAAGUGUUUCUUAUUGCGUGAUGCAAACAAUGCUGCUAUGAACACGUGUGUUCAAGUCUUUAUGCAAAAAGUGUUUUACAUAGUUUAUGUACAUAGAGAAAAGCUACUACUUUCAGAUGGUACAGUAGUUUAACUGGAUCUGAGGAGCUGCUUUUGUGUCCCAAGCCCCUGUUGACUACCUCUGCCCUGAGGCCCUGUCUCACCUGAUCCUUGGUUUUUCAAGUAGGUUCUUACUGGUGCAUGAAUAAGUGAGUGAGUGAGUGUGUGAGUGUGCAUGCAUAUUUUUUUUUUCAAGACAGAUCUUCUCUGUAUAACACCUCGGGCUGUUCUAGAACUUGCUUUGUAAACCAGGCUGGCCAAGAACUCAGAGAUUCUCCUGCCUUUGCCUCCUGAUCCUGGGAUUAAAGGCGUGCGGCCGCCACCCAGCUGAACCGAGGUCCUCUUGAUUGGCAGGCAAGCAUUCUGCCAGUGAGACACAUCCCACAGCAUAAUUAAUGUAUACAUUGUGUAUAUACCCAUGUGGACGCAGAGGACAAUAAUUAAUGUAUACAUUAUGUGUAUACCCGUGUGGGGGCAGAGGACAACUUGUGGGAAGUGAUUUUCCUCCGCCACAUGGCCCAGAGAUCAAACACAGGUCGUCAGGCUUUGCAGGUGUGUCACCUACUAAGCCCUGUCACUGGUCACAUCCAUGUGUUAUAGGUAGUUUGAAGGCUACAAGUGUAACUCAUAUAAUAGAGCUUGCCUACGGCUUUCUCUUCACUACUGCAAGAAUGAAAAAGCGACCCUACUGUAGAGAAAGCCAGCAACUGGCUGCUUCAGGUUCCAUGCUGCUGCGCCCGUAGAGACCACAGGUCUUAGGCAGAGGAAAGGCAACACCUGUGUGACUGUCCCAGUGAGGUGACACUGUUCCUCCUAUGAGCAUGAUGUGCAAGCUCUGUGUAGUCAUCUACUUGUUUGCUCGAUUGAGCAGAAGAUUUUAAUUUUUAAAAGCCAUGACGUUAGAUUUAUUCAGUUAUUCAGCCUUUCUUGUGCUUUUUUUUUUUUCUUUCUUUCCUUUUGAAAGAAGGGUGUUAUUAGUUAAAUGGCGGCGGCGGCGGUAACUGUCUUCUGUGUUGCUGGGUCUGCUGUCGUAAGGAGCUAGGUUAUGGAAGGAUCACACACUGUCUUGAUGCCCUGGAAGACAAGGGCCCCUUCUGUAUGCUAUGCCCCUAGUCCUCUUUUCAGACCCCACUUCUGGAGUCGAGCAAAGACACUCAAUUUUGCGCCCGUCAUCUGGGCUCCAUGUGAGACCGUGGUUCCCUGAGCCUGUCGCUCGCUGGUCCUCAGAAUGCUGGAGGGUUUCUGUGGCCUUCAAGGGCCUUAACACUGAGCUGUAAUCACCAGGGCACCCAGUGCUCACUCUGGCAGGUGGGUGAGCGAGCACCUUGACUAUGAGACUUGGGGUGUUGUGGCUGUAGGAUGGAUUUGUCUUUCUGCAAAUGUCCGCCCCCUGAGCUUAACCAGUGCUCCAAAGAGCAACUGUCCAUCCUUCCAUAUGCAGACAUGCGCCUUGAGCCUGCAGACAAGAUGCUGAGUUAACAUCCAACACUUCAAAUAUGUGCCUUCUAGAGCAACAGCUGAGCAGGGGCGUAAGGCUGUAAGUACAGGGAUGUUUCCUUAGAGGGCCACUGCAUGGGGACCCGCGCUGUAUGUCCCAGGCCAGUCUCAGCAUCACACUGAUGGCUUCAUUAAUAUCAAUACCUCAUCUAUGAUUGCUAAGCCUAAGCCAUUCCCAGGCCUAGAGGUUUUUUGUUUGGGACAGGUUCUUACUAUUCAGCCCCUACUGGCCUGGAUGGAACUUGUAGACCAGGCUGGCCUCCUCAGUGCCUGCCUGCCCCAUGGGACCUUGACUUUUAUUUUGCUGGCAUAGACUGUGAAGACCUACAUGAAUGUCAGGAUAAUGCCAGGGAAGAUCGAGACCAGGAUAUUAAUUAUUAGAGCUGAUUAAGAGGUCUGGUCUAAGCACAGCUUUCUAGAUGUUUCUUACGUUUUGUUUUUGGUGUUUUGUUUGUUUUUUAAGGGACAAAAAUCUUAGCGUGUUAACCAGCUGGUCUCAAGUGAUCUUCCUUCCUUAAUCUCCAAGUGGCUGGACCCAUAGGGUGCCAUUGACCCAGCUAUCUUUCUUUGCAAUUAUUUUUGGUAUGUGUGUUAUAUUUCUGUGCACCACAUGCUUGCAGUAGAGGCCAGAAGAGGGCAUCAGAUCCCCUGAGCGUGGAGUUAAAUGGUUGUGAGCUGCCAUCUAGGUGCUGGGAUUUGAACCUGGGUCCUCUGGGUGAGUGGUUAGUGCUCUUAACAGCUAAAUGAUUUCCACACCACCACCACCACCACCCCAGCUGCAUUUUUUAAAUCCUCAACAAUGAUGUGAGGAUGAGUAUAUUGUAAGUGAGGGGCACGGUAUGGGGCAGGGGAGGGCUGCCCACGCCUUUGUGACACUUCUCUUCAUCCUACAGAGUACACAGCUAUGGUGUCCCAUGACACCGGGUGUUUGGUGCGCCUCACUGGAGGCUCAGUUACUCUCAGAAGUCAUUGUUCUAGGGUUACUGGACUGCGUGAUAUUUCUCUCUCACUGUAAGUCAUAAUGUGUUAAGACUUUUCAGGAAAAUUACUAGUGUGGAGGCUUUCCUGUUUUUUGUUUUUUUGUGGGUAUUUUUGUUUUUUGUUUUUUGUUUUGGUUUUAAUAUAACUUGACAUCCUCAUUAAGAAUUGCCUUUCCCCUGGUUUAAUUCCUGGUUUUUUCUCUUGAAUAGACUCUGAAGACAUCCAGUCUGACCUUUAACAAGAAGCUUUAGAUGACGCAAGCAGCUCUCUCUGGAUUCUGUUUUGUUUUGGUGCUGGGAUGAAACCCUGUACACGAAAGGCCGACCCUCUCCUGCUCAGCUCUGUCCCCAGACCUCUGCUAAUGUGGAGAGUUAGUGCCACCUGAGUUUAAUGAAUCUUUCUCCCUGGUCUCCUUGGAUUCUGUGUUCUUAUGUUCAACCUACUUAUGCCCACCCAGGUUAUCCACUCCUGUCAGCAGGAACAGGAGGUGGCGGUUGGAGUCUUGCUCUGCUUCUGCCCUUUGGCUACAGGCAAGGCCCUCGGUUGCUGAUAGCGAAGCGUGUUUGAGGAGGCCACUUGAAACCCCUGAGGAGUGAGUGUUUUGCAAAGCACGUGGGGUUUCCAGCAAAGGAAAACUGUGAACUAUUGGCCAUGGUUUCAAAGCAGACCCGUGAACAAACAAAGUGACUGGCCCUGUCCUGCUUUUCACUGGAACAGGCCUCAGAAGGUGAUGGCACAAGCCAGGAGGUAACUAGAGAAGAAAGUAGCAUAGCCAGGAGUGAGAAUAGAAAUCACUCCGAGGCUCAGGAGGCUGGGGGCCUGCCACAGCCUCAGCGGUGAGGGCGGCAGGUGAGCAGGGCUGGCUGUGGUCCCUAGGCUUGUAUAUUUAGUAGCUUUGCUCUCUCUGCUGUGUUUGUAGUUUAGUUCUGCUGGGUUAUUUAAACUUAGCCCUUCAGAUUCCAGGUGCUUAGCCAUUGUUCUUUCUCCUCCCACAUGGUCCAUGUGCGCUGAAAUGCAUAGCGAUCUGAGGGAGUUGGAAUGGAGUCUGAACUGCAGAACAUAUACAGGACAUAUAGUACAGCUCCUUUAUUUUAUUUUUUUGGGGGGGUCAGGGUCUCACUGUGUGUAACUCUGAGUGUCCUGGAACUCACUCUAUAGAUCAGGUUGGCCUAGAACUCAGAGAUCCCCAGAUAUCUGCCUCUAUUGAUUUUAGUUGUUGUCUGUGGUUUUUUUGCUUUGGUUUCUUCUUUUGUUGUUGUUUUUUGUUUGUUUGUUUGUUUGUUUGUUUUUUUGGGGGGGUGUUUUUGUUUUUGUAGUCCUGGCCAGCUUUGAACUCAUGAUCUUCAUGUGUUGGCCUCUAAAGUACUAGGCUCACAGGACAGGCAUAUGCCAUCACACACAGCCACUAAUGGUUAUAGACGUUUUAUCGCAGAUGAGAGAUGUUUGUCACAUUGGAACAACCCCUCCGCUGUUCUGGGAAUAAAUCCAUGAUUGUAUCCUUGAGCAAUGAAAGGUUUGAAUGGCGUUUUCCUGUCAUCACUGCAUCUGUGGCUGAGUUACCAUCCUGUCCUCUACAGCCUACAUACAUCUCACACAUACACACUCACUCACACACACAUACACACACACACUCACACACACACAGAGUUUUGAUUGCAGUGAACUGGUUUCUUUUUCCCAGUUGUGGUUGUUGGUUGAAGGUUGUCUUCAUGUGUUGUGGUGGGGCCUAGCUACUAACACUGAGAUCAUGUGACGCCCUUUGGGUUGAGGACAUACCUAGAAGCCACUUAACCAGUGGUCUUGUUCCUUAUGUGACUCAACUCUUGGGGUUCCUGCAGUCACAGAUGAGGGUCCUGUCACCCCCAUGUUGAAUUAAUCCUUUGCUCAUCUUACAGGAUGUGUUCUGACUCCCCCCAUUUCUGAGGGCUUGUAAGGCCCAAGCUCUCUGAGUACCUCUCAGGCUGGGAUUUAGACGGCCGUACCUAUUCCCUCUGCUGUGAGUAAGUCUGCUUUCCACCCAGUGGGGAGCUGAAGGGAGGCUGGGAGAGAAAGGGGUACCAGCCAGAGGGCUGGGGCGUGGGGAGACGGGGAUGGAGAUGCUGGGGUCUGCAGGGACCAGCCUACCUGGCAGUCCAGGAACCUCAGUGUGUGUGUGUGUGUGUGUGUGUGUGUGUGUGUGGUGUGUUUAUGUGUACAUAUGAGCCUACUAUGUGCUUGUAAAUGUGUACAAGUGAUAUGAGUGUGCCUACUGUUUGUGUAUGUGAUCUGGGUUUUUUGUUUGUUUGUUUUUUGUUUUUUUGAGAUAGAGUGUCUCAGUGUAGCCCUGGCUGUCCUGGAACUCACUCCAGUAUGUGUGUACACGUGAGUCUACCAUAUGUAAAUGUGUGCAUAUGAGCCUACUACAUGUUUAUACAUGUAAAUGAAUCUACUGUGUGUACAUGUAUGUCUGUGAGCCUAGUAUUUGUUUGUAUAUGUGUUCAUAUGAAUUACUGUGUAUUUGCAUAUGUGUGUGUGUGUGAACCUGUGGUGUAGGUGUGGAUAUAAAGUAGAGCAGACUGCUCAGAUUUCUGGUUAUGAGUUGAGAGGACCCUCUUGUCAGCAUGGCCUGACCCAGGCUCUCUGGGCACGUUACAGCCUCAGACCCUCAGUUUCCCACCUGGACCUUGUGGAGAAUAUGGAUUCCUGAGCCUCUUUAGACUCAAAGAAGGGGAUCCACAAUCCUCCCCAUGACUCAAAGAGGACUGCAGGGUUUCUAGGGUGCUCUGUGCACCUUGCGGCUCUGGGACCUUCAUGACUCUCUCCUCCUUGGAACCUGGACGGCAUGCUAGAACUCAAAAACACCAGAGAGCUGAUGGGGACACUAUUUCCGGACGGACUUACAUUUCCAAGCCAAGGCAGUGCCCUGGAAGACUCCUGCUGUGACCACAAGCUCAGAGAAUGGAAGGCAGGUGGACUCACUCAUCUGUGUGACAUAGGUAGCCAGGACCCAGCAGGUUUGGAGAACCUGCUCGCUGCACUUGAGUUAGCCCAAGUGUUGAAAGCUCCCUUGGUUCUAAGACCUGUUUAAUUGUGAGUUAUUGGCAUAAAGUUGGAAGCUGUGGGAAAAGUAUAAAAUGAGAAUAGCAACCCUCUCCCCUCUCCUACCUCCCUGCUACACAGAGGCAGCCCUUGGGUGGCUUAGGGAGUGUCUAGCACACAGAGCUUACUGCACCCGACCCUGUCUCAGAGCAAUUAGGCUGUGACUUGUGGUUCAUUUUUUGGAGUCUGAUUUCAUGCAUGCACUUCUCAUGUAGGGUUGGGAACACUCACUUGGAGGCAGGGGGACAUGAGUCCCCUAGAGCCUUUGGCAGGGCAUCAGGACCGGCAGGAGUGAGCCUGGGAGGGGCACGGAGCCGCCGCAGGUGUUUCUUUUCCUGACCGCGGCUCAUGGCCGCGCUCAGGUUUUGCUUUUCACCAUUGUCUGAGAGAACGAACGUGAGCAGGAAAAAGCAAAA